rnacentral:tRNA from 1 species
GCCUUCAUGGUAUAAUGGUCAGCGCGCUCGACGCGUAUACGAGAGGUCCGUGGUUCGAAUCCCGGAGAGGGCA